GAUGAACGCUGGCGGCGUGCUUAACACAUGCAAGUCGAACGGAAAGGCUCCUGCUUGCAGGGGUACUCGAGUGGCGAACGGGUGAGUAACACGUGGGUGAUCUGCCCUGCACUUCGGGAUAAGCCUGGGAAACUGGGGCUAAUACCGGAUAGGACGAUGGUUUGGAUGCCAUUGUGGAAAGUUUUUGCGGUGUGGGAUGAGCUCGCGGCCUAUCAGCUUGUUGGUGGGGUAAUGGCCUACCAAGGCGUCGACGGGUAGCCGGCCUGAGAGGGUGUACGGCCACAUUGGGACUGAGAUACGGCCCAGACUCCUACGGGAGGCAGCAGUGGGGAAUAUUGCACAAUGGGCGCAAGCCUGAUGCAGCGACGCCGCGUGGGGGAUGACGGCCUUCGGGUUGUAAACUCCUUUCGCUAGGGACGAAGCGCAAGUGACGGUACCUGGAGAAGAAGCACCGGCUAACUACGUG
rnacentral:rRNA from 1 species